ACGCACAUACACACACAUGCACUCACACACAUAUACACACACUCCCAUAGACACAAACCUAAAGUUUAAUUGUUCUGUUUUCUUCCAGGUUUCCAAACUUUACCUGUCAUCACUGCCGUGUCUGUUGUUCUCGUGCUGCUUCUCAUUGCCCUUUUAUUUACUGUACUGAUACAGUGGAAAAAGAAGAACCAAGCCUCAUCUUCAGCCCAAUCGUUAAAAAGCUCCACAAACCCCCAUGUGGAUUCCAAACUUUACCUGUCAUCACUGCCGUGUCUGUUGUUCUCGUGCUGCUUCUCAUUGCCCUUUUAUUUACUGGACUGAUACAGUGGAAAAAGAAGAACCAAGCUUCCAGCACCAGUCUGUGACUACGAGGAGGUUAAAGACAGCAGAUCUCUUUCUAACACAAUUUACUGCACUGCUCUGUUAUCCACAAACCUCCC